GCCAGCAUGGCGUUGUGGUUUGAAUGUUGGACUACAACUCUAGAGGCCAGGAUUCAAUUCCCUGCUCAGCCA